GACGAACGCUGGCGGCGUGCUUAACACAUGCAAGUCGAACGGAAAGGCCCUGCUUUUGUGGUGUGCUCGAGUGGCGAACGGGUGAGUAACACGUGAGUAACCUGCUCUUGACUUUGGGAUAACUUCAGGAAACUGGGGCUAAUACCGGAUAGGAGCUCCUGCUGCAUGGUGGGGGUUGGAAAGUUUCGGCGGUUGGGGAUGGACGCGCGGCUGAUCAGCUUGUUGGUGGGGUAGUGGCUUACCAAGGCUUUGACGGGUAGCCGGCCUGAGAGGGUGACCGGCCACAUUGGGACUGAGAUACGGCCCAGACUGCUACGGGAGGCAGCAGUGGGGAAUAUUGCACAAUGGGCGGAAGCCUGAUGCAGCAACGCCGCGUGCGGGAUGACGGCCUUCGGGUUGUAAACCGCUUUCGCCUGUGACGAAGCGUGAGUGACGGUAAUGGGUAAAGAAGCACCGGCUAACUACGUG
rnacentral:rRNA from 1 species